GGGAUAUUGGACAAUGGGCGCAAGCCUGAUCCAGCCAUGCCGCGUGAGUGAAGAAGGCCUUAGGGUUGUAAAUCUCUUUCGGCGGGGAAGGUAAUGACGGUACCCGCCGAAGCAGCCCCGGCUAACUCCGUGCCAGCAGCCGCGGUAAUACGGAGGGGGCUAGCGUUGUUCGGAAUUACUGGGAGUAAAGGGCACGUAGGCUGGCUGUUAAGUCGGUGGUGAAAUCCCGAGGCUCAACCUCGGAAUUGCCUUCGAUACUGACGGUCUUGAGUGCGGGAGAGGUGAGUGGAAUUCCCAGUGUAGAGGUGAAAUUCGUAGAUAUUGGGAAGAACACCAGUGGCGAAGGCGGCUCACUGGCCCGCAACUGACGCUGAGGUGCGAAAGCGUGGGGAGCAAAC
rnacentral:rRNA from 1 species